AUUGAACGCUGGCGGCAUGCUUUACACAUGCAAGUCGAACGGUAACAGGCCUUCGGGUGCUGACGAGUGGCGAACGGGUGAGUAAUGCAUCGGAACGUGCCCAAUCGUGGGGGAUAACGCAGCGAAAGUUGCGCUAAUACCGCAUAAGCCCUGAGGGGGAAAGCGGGGGACCGAAAGGCCUCGUGCGAAUGGAGCGGCCGAUGUCAGAUUAGCUAGUUGGUGGGGUAAAGGCUCACCAAGGCGACGAUCUGUAGCGGGUCUGAGAGGAUGAUCCGCCACACUGGGACUGACACACGGCCCAGACUCCUACGGGAGGCAGCAGUGGGGAAUUUUGGACAAUGGGCGCAAGCCUGAUCCAGCCAUGCCGCGUGCGGGACGAAGGCCUCGGUUGUAACCGACGUUCUAGCGGAACGAAAUACGACUGUUUUAAUUAGUAGGCGAGUGGAGUGACGGUACCGGAACGAAGAAGAC
rnacentral:rRNA from 1 species